UACGUAGGGGGCUAGCGUUAUCCGGAAUUACUGGGCGUAAAGGGUGCGUAGGUGGUUUCUUAAGUCAGAGGUGAAAGGCUACGGCUCAACCGUAGUAAGCCUUUGAAACUGGAAACUUGAGUGCAGGAGAGGAGAGUGGAAUUCCUAGUGUAGCGGUGAAAUGCGUAGAUACUAGGAGGAACACCAGUUGCGAAGGCGGCUCUCUGGACUGUAACUGACACUGAGGCACGAAAGCGUGGGGAGCAAACAGG
rnacentral:rRNA from 1 species